GUGUUCGUAGAAAGGAGAGAUGGUUGGUAUCUCCCCUGACAGGGACGGGAACAGCCUUCAGGCUUUACUUGGUUAAGGCUUACCACUUCGGUGGAUCUUAUAAGGACUUCGA